AGUGAACGCUGGCGGUAGGCCUAACACAUGCAAGUCGAACGGCAGCACAGUAAGAGCUUGCUCUUACGGGUGGCGAGUGGCGGACGGGUGAGGAAUACAUCGGAAUCUACUUUUUCGUGGGGGAUCACGUAGGGAAACUUACGCUAAUACCGCAUACGACCUACGGGUGAAAGCAGGGGAUCUUCGGACCUUGCGCGAUUGAAUGAGCCGAUGUCGGAUUAGCUAGUUGGCGGGGUAAAGGCCCACCAAGGCGCGGAUCCGUAGCUGGUCUGAGAGGAUGGUCGCCCACACUGGAACUGAGACACGGUCCAGACUCCUACGGGAGGCAGCAGUGGGGAAUAUUGGACAAUGGGCGCAAGCCUGAUCCAGCCAUACCGCGUGGGUGAAGAAGGCCUUCGGGUUGUAAAGCCCUUUUGUUGGGAAAGAAAAGCAGCAGGUUAAUACCCCGCUGUUCUGACGGUACCCAAAGAAUAAGCACCGGCUAACUUCGUG
rnacentral:rRNA from 1 species